rnacentral:rRNA from 1 species
UACGUAGGGUGCAAGCGUUAAUCGGAAUUACUGGGCGUAAAGCGGGCGCAGGCGGUUCGGAAAGAGAGGUGUGAAAUCCCAGGGCUUAACCUUGGAACUGCACUUCUAACUACCGGGCUAGAGUACGUCAGAGGGGGGUAGAAUUCCACGUGUAGCAGUGAAAUGCGUAGAGAUGUGGAGGAAUACCGAUGGCGAAGGCAGCCCCCUGGGAUGAUACUGACGCUCAUGCACGAAAGCGUGGGGAGCAAACAGG